rnacentral:rRNA from 1 species
UGGGGAAUAUUGGACAAUGGGGGCAACCCUGAUCCAGCGAUGCCGCGUGAGUGAAGAAGGCCUUCGGGUCGUAAAGCUCUUUAGGUUGGGAAGAAGGUUGUUUGAGGAAAUGCUUACAACUUGACGGUACCGACAGAAUAAGCACCGGCAAACUCUGUGCCAGCAGCCGCGGUAAUACAGAGGGUGCAAGCGUUAAUCGGAUUAACUGGGCGUAAAGGGUGCGUAGGCGGUUGUGUAAGUAUGAUGUGAAAGCCCCGGGCUCAACCUGGGAAGUGCAUCGUAGACUAUACAACUGGAGUAGAUGAGAGGGUGGCGGAAUUUCCGGUGUAGCGGUGAAAUGCGUAGAGAUCGGAAGGAACGUCAAUGGCGAAGGCAGCCACCUGGCAUCAUACUGACGCUGAGGCACGAAAGCGUGGGGAGCGAACAGG